rnacentral:lncRNA from 1 species
AGCCAGCUGACCUGUCACGUGACUGACAUCAGAGUUCGUCAAGCUGUGAGGGAAUGGCUGGGAAGAGUGGGUCGUGUCUAUGACAUCAUCGUCUAGAGGACUCAGAUCCUAAGGAAAUGCCUAUAGUCAGAGUCUGCCUGUCGAUCCAGCAGAUUGCAUUUUCCCAACCACCAUCCCACUCAAACCAAGUCUCUGAAAAACUAGUUCUCUGAAACCUGGUAACAAAGCUUUUCCCAAGCUCUCCUUAAUUAGUCAACCUUGGGUUAGUCUGGAUGCCAACAUAGUGACAUAAUGAUCUCUGGCCUUGAACAUUGUUACAAAAGAGUCUGCGUUACUUGAUACAUUUCUAAAUCUAAUUUCCAAGUGCAUUUGCUUGCAGUAUUAUACCCCAAUGGGUAAUUUUCAACAUUCUCCUUUGGAAGCCCUAGGCUGAUCCAUUUGAGCCAUCAUUUUCAAAAUUAAUUCCUAAGAAAACAUUUGCUGGUAAGUCAAGCUGAUGUAAAAAAAAAAUCAUAUAACUGGCACCAGACAUAAUUAAUCAGAAAAACUUAUAUUCUGAUUAUAUAGUGUGGUUGGGAAGAAAACUGCAAAAGUCUUUUUUUUUUCAGUGUUCUAAUCAAGAAAGAAAUUACUUCUAAAAUAUAUUCAGGAACAUUUCAACAUUAUUCUUGAGGUUUUUAGAUCUUUGUGUUAAUAGUCACAAAUUCCCCAGGUAAGGUACUGUUGUGCCUUUAUGUCUCUGUUUCUAAAGGGAGGGAAUUUUUUCC